CUGUGGGUAAAACCUCAGCACCUAGGACUUGCUGAUCGCAUGGUCGGCGGUUCGAAUCCCCGCGGCAGGGUGCGCUCCCGUCGUUCGGUCCCAGCGCCUGCCAACCUAGCAGUUCGAAAGCACCUCCGGGUGCAAGUAGAUAAAUAGGGACCGCUUACCAACAGGAAGGUAAACGGCGUUCCGUGUGCUGCGCUGGCUCGCCAGAUGCAGCUUGUCACGCUGGCCACGUGACCCGGAAGUAUCUGCGGACAGCGCUGGCUCCCGGCCUAUAGAGUGAGAUGAGCGCACAACCCUAGAGUCUGGCAAGACUGGCCCGUACAGAUAGGGGUACCUUUACCUUUACCUUAUU